rnacentral:rRNA from 1 species
UACGUAGGGUGCGAGCGUUAAUCGGAAUUACUGGGCGUAAAGCGUGCACAGGCGGUCCGCAAAGUCUGAUGUGAAAGCCCCGGGCUCAACCUGGGAACUGCAUUGGAAACUAACGGGCUCGAGUGUGGCAGAGGGGGGUGGAAUUCCGCGUGUAGCAGUGAAAUGCGUAGAGAUGCGGAGGAACACCGAUGGCGAAGGCAGCCCCCUGGGCUGACACUGACGCUCAGGCACGAAAGCGUGGGGAGCAAACAGG